GGCAGCUGUGUAAAUCACAUGUGCCAGAGGCAUAACUAGCACCUGGCACAAUAUUGCAGAUUUCACUUUAUGUACAGUGUUUCAAGCUGAAAAGCUUCUAAUAGCAGAAGUGGUCAUAGACAUUGGCCUUUAACUGUGUCGGUAACAAUCAAUUGAAUGAACAAUUCGUACACCAAGUAAGUACAAAAAUUAUUUAAUAAGCCAACUUUAUUGAGGUCUCAGGUUAAAAUCCAACAUACAUAUGUGACAAUUCACAAGAACUCAAUUAUACUAGAAACCACCCACUAAGGGUUAUAACCAAUUCUCCAAACUGUAUUAACCCUUUACAGACACCCAUAAAGAUGUAACAUAAAAUCCCCAGUAUGCCAGCAUGCAAUAAUAAACAUAGUUAAAUACACCUUUGUAUUUUGCAUGGUACUAACUAAAUACACCUUUGUAUUUUGCAUGGUACUAACAGUACAGUAAAUAAAAAGUCACAAUUAAAGUGGUUAGAUGCAUACGUCUUCUGACCACCUCAUCAGUAUGUGCCUUUGGGCAAGACACCUAAUAUACAUCACCUACUUCAAAUCUUCAUAGAUUGUAAGCUUGCUUGAGCAGAGCCUUCUUCACCUCUAAAUAUCCCUUUUCUAUAAUUAUAAAUAAAUAGCGGCAGAAUAUGUUGACACUUUAAUGGAAACAAUAAAAACAACAUACCUAUGUGGUUUAAAGAAAUCAGAUCGCCUCCUGUUUUAUAUUUUGUCUUAACUUUACCAGGAAUAAAAAAAAUAUAUACCAAAGGCACACACACGUG